rnacentral:pre_miRNA from 1 species
UUUUUAGUAAAAGUAUGUCCCAUGCAAUAUUUGGGACAUACUUAAACAAAAA